rnacentral:rRNA from 1 species
GACAGGUGCUGCAUGGCUGUCGUCAGCUCGUGUUGUGAAAUGUUGGGUUAAGUCUCGCAACGAGCGCAACCCCUAUCUUUAGUUGCCAGCAUUAAGUUGGGCACUCUAGAGAGACUGCCCGGGUUAACCGGGAGGAAGGUGGGGAUGACGUCAAGUCCUCAUGGCCCUUAUGCCUAGGGCUACACACGUAAUACAAUGGUACGAACAAUGGGACGCGAACCUGCGAGGGGGAGCAAAUCUCAAAAAACGUAUCUCAGUCCGGAUUGGAGUCUGCAACUCGACUCCAUGAAGUUGGAAUCGCUAGUA